rnacentral:rRNA from 1 species
UACGAAGGGGGCUAGCGUUGUUCGGAAUCACUGGGCGUAAAGGGCGCGUAGGCGGCUUUAUAAGUCGGGGGUGAAAGCCUGUGGCUCAACCACAGAAUUGCCUUCGAUACUGUAGAGCUUGAGACCGGAAGAGGUAAGUGGAACUGCGAGUGUAGAGGUGAAAUUCGUAGAUAUUCGCAAGAACACCAGUGGCGAAGGCGGCUUACUGGCCCGGUACUGACGCUGAGGUGCGAAAGCGUGGGGAGCAAACAGG